rnacentral:misc_RNA from 1 species
GUGAAUCAUCAAAUUUUUGAACGCAAAUUGCACUCUCUGGUAUUCCGGAGAGUAUGCCUGUUUGAGGGUCAGUUUAAAUAAAAAUCGGUGUGGUUGCUUCCUUGCGUGGUGUCGCACCGGAUUUUUGGCGUCUUGCCUUCGGAUAUGUGACCUAGAGUUUUGCAUGAUUUGUUCGAACGUAUUUAAGUGUUUGUCCGUUCAAU